CUACGGGUGGCACCAGUGGGGAAUAUUGCACAAUGGGGGAAACCCUGAUGCAGCGACGCCGCGUGAGCGAAGAAGUAUUUCGGUAUGUAAAGCUCUAUCAGCAGGGAAGAAAAUGACGGUACCUGACUAAGAAGCUCCGGCUAAAUACGUGCCAGCAGCCGCGGUAAUACGUAUGGAGCAAGCGUUAUCCGGAUUUACUGGGUGUAAAGGGUGCGUAGGCGGCAGGGCAAGUCAGAUGUGAAAGCCCGGGGCUCAACCCCGGGACUGCAUUUGAAACUGCUUUGCUGGAGUGCAGGAGAGGUAAGCGGAAUUCCUAGUGUAGCGGUGAAAUGCGUAGAUAUUAGGAGGAACACCAGUGGCGAAGGCGGCUUACUGGACUGUCACUGACGCUGAGGCACGAAAGCGUGGGGAGCAAACAGGAUUAGAUACCCUGGUAGUC
rnacentral:rRNA from 1 species